rnacentral:rRNA from 1 species
GAUGAACGCUGGCGGCGUGCCUAAUACAUGCAAGUCGAGCGAAGCGGGGACGGGUGAGUAACACGUGGAUAACCUCCUAUAAGACUGGGUUAACUUCGGGAAACCGGUGCUAAACCGGCUACUUAUAGAUGGCUCCGGGCUGCAUUAGCUAGUUGGUAAAGUAACGGCUUACCAAGGCAACGAUGCAUAGCCGACCUGGGAGGAUGAUCGGCCACGCGAGAACGAAGAGGCGGACCAGACUACGACGGGAGGCAGCAGUAGAGAAUCGGCCGCAGUGGGCGGAAGGAUGAAGCAACGACGCCGCGUGAGUGAUGAAGGUCUUCGGAUCGUAAAACUCUGUUAUUAGGGAAGCGGUACCUAAGCAGAAAACCACGGCUAACUACGUGCCAGCCGCGGUAAUUC